rnacentral:piRNA from 1 species
UACAGCACUGAUCUUGGCACUCUGGG